AAUACACCGCGACACAAUCCAUUAAGUACGACUGCCUGUUUAUGAAUCAGUAAUGUUUGUAAAAUGGCUGACACCAGUGACGGAAAUAGUAACGAUCAAUGCGACGAAGUUUUCUCUUUAAAGGAUUUUUCCGAGUGUUUUGAUUUACCGAAAUGGGUCGCAGUAGUAGGUGGAAAAGACGUGGGUCCGAUUGGAUCGGGGCCGUGCAAUAUUCAGAAGGGGAUGAUACUAUUAUUAAGGACCCUAGCUGUGGAUAGCGUUACACUAUCAUUUAACGAUGCUGAAACAGGUAAACGGAUAGUGAGUGUGUCACCUAAUAGUCAGGUAAAGUUUACCGUACAGUUACCAUAUCCGGACUUCAAAAAUCCGGCCGCACCUCGGACGGUUUACAACACGGUGGCCGAAUUAUUAAAAGUGUGUCCAACAUUCUUUAAGGCAAACGUGUUUUACGACGACCCCUACCUUCCAGCAAUUGUCAAAGCCGGCGAAGUCUUUAAAUUCAUCCGAAAGCUACGGCGGCCCAAUGAGCGCCGAAUGUACCUUCAGUGCAGGGACCCGGAGGGAAAUAUUAUUGAACUUCCGGAAGAGUGCCGGGGCGAUUUCACGGCUGUUGAGGAUGAAGAAUCGUACACGCUCAAAGAGUUACUGGACCUCGGGCCUAUCGAUAGGAAGUUAAAGCUGUCACGUGACCAUGUACAGUUGAGUUUUGUACCAGAAGCUGGUGACAACGGCCAUGAUCUGUACAGUAAUUUGAAGGGCUCGGAGAGCUCGAACCUGUUACAGCGGAUCAUGGGACUUCCCCUGUCUUAUGACGGGCUGCUGACCCUCCACCAGCCAAAGAUGUUCCUGGCAGCAUCACCGAGUGAAAACCAACAGGAAGUCUGGAAAGUUCCGCUCGACAUCGAUAUAAAGGUGAAGGCUUUUUGCACAGACGACUAUGAGAAACCGCUGUCAAGCUGUGAGAUCCCGGAUAUGGGCAGUCCCCCGCCGCCAUUCAAAGUGUACAAACUUUGCGAGCUACUAGACACUUACCACGAAGACUUUCCCGUAUUGGCCACUCUAGUCCAUUACAAGGACAUGCCAGUAGAAUUUACGCACUGUCUGUCGCCCGGCUGUGAACUCAUUGUCCAUAACAUCGAACGCCAGGAUAGGCUUCUUGCGAAAGCCGGGCACAAGUAUUUUUCUAUUGCUAGAAACAUGCCUGGGAAAUUCCGCAAAACGCUGAGAAAGUUUAGGUCUAUUGCUGACAUGAAAUAUAUGUUUCCAGACCCUUUGCAGGAAGAUGUUUGUGUAAAAAUCCUUCAAGAGGUUGCUUCCGAUUCGCCUGUUCAGUUUUCGCUGGCUACUGGUGACGUAGUUAAAUUUAAAACGUUUCAAGCUAAAACGCAUAAAGUUAAAUUAAAAUCGAAGACCUAUAGCGAAUGUUCUGUGAUUCAUUGCGAAAAACGGCGCGAAAAUGGAAAAUUCGAAAAAAUACUUUUACCAGACGACCUUGAUAUUCUAGUCCAUGAAUUACCGUCACCUUCAAAAGUUGACGGAUUUUGUAUCGACGAGGUGUUUAGAUAUCGCCCGGAACUUCCGUUCAGCGUCGAUUUUCUCGCCGACUAUAACUCCAUGUGGGGUUGUCUACCAGUUUCGUCCGAAAUCAUGUUCACAAACUUUGUCACCGAGCCGCUUGCCGUCAUUUCCCAAUUGUCAAAAGCAGACGAAGAUAGCGACACCCGCCGCCAUAUAGACAACCGUGUGCGGGACUGUUUAUUGGUUCCCGCGCGUCACUUCAUGAUGCUCACGGUGAAGGAGCGUCUCGGUUUCCCGUCCAAUUACUUCAUGUUUCCGGACAAAAAUGUGUUUAUUGGAUGCGCAGUGGAGAAAAUCAGCAAACAAGCGUUUGACGACCUGAUACGCCACAAUGACUUGUCCUACGAGGACUACGAUGGGAUGCCAUCAGCAAAUGCCGAGAGUGCCGCCAUUCUACCAUACAAGAGCAAACGGGGUUCUGAGGAAAAGCUCAACAAACGACUGUCCAAGACCUUCAACACCAUGAUCAAGAGCCGGCCAAAGAUAUUAACAAAAAUAAAGAAGCGAUUUAGUGCCAAUAAUCUGGAGGAGCUUAGUACGGACACGUCGUCUGCGGUGGAGAACCAGAUGUAUGGAGCCGGGUCCAUUCACAGUACGGACGACGGGGACCAGUAUGAUGAUGAAAACCUAUACGAGCAUGUUCAAUACAGUAUUGACAAGAAAAGCUAAUAAGCCAUGUGGCGUGGCAAAAAAAGAAUAGGUAAACAGCAUACUCCGAGGCCAUGGUCACAACUUCAGCCCGCCGAUAGCCAUAUCCACACUCUGCCAUGGUCUUGAUGUGUUCCACAAGAUGGGCUUCCUCCUCGUUGGAAAACAUCGGUUGUGGACCCGAAUGUAAACUUUCCGGAUUCACUCUGCCACACAGCCUGUGCCUCAGGGAUGCUUCAGGUACCCCAAACUCUCUGGCAGUUGUUCUGAUUUUGGACCCUGUCUGUCUGAUAUGUACAUAGGCAGCAUUCAUAGAAGUGGGUGAAUAACACCGGUACUUCCCUUGUGGGCCCUGGAAAUAAAAUUACAUUUAAAUUAGUUUACCACUCAUCACAAUAUAAGUAACAAUAGUAAAUAAUUCUGGUGGUAAAUUCCCAUUAAAAUCCAAUGAGUGUGUGUGUGUGUGCAGUGCUAUUCAUUUAACGCGUACAUCUUACCAGAUGGCUAAAAAUAACAGAAUUGACGUAAUCUAUCACAUGACAGUCACGUGAUCUAUAAAUGAAACAAAAAAACUUGCAGACGAACAUUCGUCAUUUUUUCCCACGAUGAAUUUAGGUAAAUAAAAUCAUGUUCCGUUGAGAUGUAUUUUUGCAUUAGUAAAAUCACUCAAAAUUGCAUUGAAAUACAUUGAAUGCAUCUAUUCUUACCUUUGCAUCUCUCACUUUCCACAUGUUUUGCGCAAGCGAUAGCAAGUACGUGUUUACUACGAUUUAAAGCAAAAUGACGUCAGCGGAAGUCGCUUAUGUAUUAAAACCGAGAAAAACAAAAACUGCGUCGAAAUAGGUUCGCGUCAUAACAGGUCACCCGACGAUAGUCGCGGCACUUCAGUGCGACGCCAACAACUGAUGAAAAAAGAUUUUUUGAAAACUUCAGAAAUCUAAAAAUGAUCGACCUUGUGGGCGAGUGAUUGGGCAAAUAUCGUCCGAAAGUGCAAGCGAACAGUCAGUGACACUGCAAAAACAUGACGUCCCGUGAGGCAGCCAUAUUGGAAAGAAUUAAAUCACGAGUACGGAGCACGAGUUAUUUCAGAUAACACGCAAACCUAUACUCCCUAUAGACAACCCACAUGAGCACAGAAAACAGUAUACUCUAUCUCGGUCUGUAAAUUCAUUCACUUUAAAGCAAUUGAAUGAGAACUAUAUUUGCUAGACUCUGCGCAUCUUGCUAAGUUACUACUAAUAGAUCUGCACGAGCCAUUCAAUCGUGGCUAAUUUAAAAUAACAAAAACUGUGAUGUACAGUAAUGUUUAUUGGCACUACAACGCAAAUGACAUACUUCUAAACUAAACUUAAAUGUUUAUAUUCAUUAACGUUUACGUUUUAUAUCAUUGUUUUUAUAAAAUGUGCGACUAAAUACAAGCUACGUUUUUAAUGCAAUCUGCGCAAACUUUAGUUUGAUAUAGUUUUUUUCUAGUGCGCGAUUAUUUACAUAUUAUUUCAUUUUACGAAUAGUUACGAUUGAAAAGGCCGCAACGGCCUGCAUACAAAUAGCAAGCAGUUUUUUCUUUUAAUAAUAUUUGUUAUUUUAACCGAAGCAUUGAAGAGUUGCGAUUUUAUGUGGAUGUAACAACCUUAUUGUAGGUGUACUUUUUAGAUUUGUAUUUAAUUAUUGUUAUUAUUGCCUGUGUUUUAAUAGUAAUUUUAAUCAUUCCGUAUCUUAGACGUGAAUCUCAAGUCUGUAUUCAUCGAUAUUACUAUUGUAUUAGAAAUCCUUGGUAUUUUAUCUUGAUACAUACCGGUAAGCAUAAUCAUUUCAAACAACAGUUUAACAAUCAUGUUGUUGUAGAGUCUGUGUACUUUGUGUAGCAUAUACCACAUACUGCAAUAAAUGUUAUUGAUCUAUUA